AUAAGCGGAGGAAAAGAAACUAACAAGGAUUCCCCUAGUAACUGCGAGUGAAGCGGGACAAGCUCAAAUUUAAAAGCCUUCGGGCGUUGUAAUCUAUAGAAGUGUUUUCGGUCGUUGCCUCGGAUAAGUCUCUUGGAACAGAGUGUCAAAGAGGGUGAGAAUCCCGUUCUUGCCGAGCUACCAACGUCCUUGCGAUACACUUUCAAAGAGUCGAGUUGUUUGGGAAUGCAGCUCAAAACGGGUGGUAAACUCCAUCUAAAGCUAAAUAUUGGCGAGAGACCGAUAGCGAACAAGUACCGUGAGGGAAAGAUGAAAAGCACUUUGGAAAGAGAGUUAAACAGUACGUGAAAUUGUUAAAAGGGAAACGCUUGGAGUCAGUCGCGUUGCAUGGACUCAGCCUCACGGUGUAUUUCUAUGCAACGGGUCAACAUCAGUUUUGGGCGGGGGAAAAGGGCUUGGGGAAUGUAGCAACCUCGGUUGUGUUAUAGCCCCUUGUCGUACACCUCGCCCGGGACUGAGGUCUGGUUAAAGGAUGUUGACGAAAUGGCUCU
rnacentral:rRNA from 1 species